GAGGAAGUACUCAAGAGGCUGAAGAGGUGCCCCUGCUAAGGGUAUAGGUCGGUCAAACGGCGCGAGGGUUCAAAUCCCUUCUUCCUCGCCA
rnacentral:tRNA from 1 species